rnacentral:lncRNA from 1 species
CUUGUCUCACCUAUUGCUGUGUACCCUGCCCUUCACUGCCCUCUAGCCACACUGGCAUCCUCACAGUACCUCAAACUCUCCAGGCAUGCUUCUACCUCAGGGCCUUUGCAUUGGCUAUUCCCUCUGCCUGGAAUCCCCCAAAUAGCCACAAGGCUCACUCAUCUCCUUUUUUUCUCGGAGAGAUCUCCCCUGAUUUAAAAUUGCAGUCACCUCCUAAUCCCUAUUACCCAGCUUGAUAUUUUUUUCCUUUGGCUUUACCACAUUUUAGCCUACUGUUUAACAUACAUUUUACCUAUGUUGUUUAUUGUCUGUUUCCCUUCUCUACCCAUUGGACUUAAGGUCCCUCAGGAGUGCUUUGUCUGUUUUUAGUAACUGAUGUGUUAAAGGGGUCACAGUGCCUUAGCUGUGAAAGUGCUGAUGUAUUCCAGCCCCAAGGAAGCCCCACUCCAGAUAUAUGUGUCUAGCCCCAGACAAGGAUUCCCAGGGAAGAGCUCCCAAAUGCUCACAUGGCUGUUCAUAGACUCAAAGCACAGCAUGUCAUGGCAGAACAGGAGUCAGAAUGUCUCUCAGCAUCCAUCAGCCCUCAGUGAGCAUAGUUGCCUAUUGGCCCUGAGGACUGACACUCACUCACUCCUACUGCCCCCUCAACCUCUAGUCCAGUAAUUGCCCAGUGCAACUAUGAACUGGACAACCUCCUGCUGUAUAGCUGGAGAAAUUGAGGCCCCAAAUGGAAGGGGACUUUGGCAAUUCUAGGCCAAAUUUAGAAUCUGAACUCAAGUUUCUUUUCUCCUACUCAGGGGUUUGCCCACCACAGUAGAGGGUGUAUAUGUAGAAGGAAGGCAUAUGCAGAGAGCUGAGUCCUCACGGUGUGUUCCAGACCUUUCCUCUACCCACACUCCCAAGCUCUCUACCAGUACAAAGUCCAGGUUCUACCCACUCACCCGUGUCCACAGCGAGGAGGGCAACCAAGGCCAGGGUGACCACCCAUAGACGGACGGCCAUGCUGAUCCUGAGCUGGUGUGGCCCAAGCUAACUGGGGCCUGGGUGGCAAGGAAGGAUGGAAACCUGUUUAUAGUGCUGAUCCCCACCCUUAUCUUAUCUGGGGCCAGUUGGAGACAAGAGCGUCACCUCAAGUUAAUCCCUGCAUCCUGGAACCAGGAAAGGGCUUGUUCAAGACAAAUAGUUUCUGGUGACAUGGAGCUGUGGCUAUGAGACUGGCAGAUUUCUGGAGGGAGCAAAUGUUUGGAUAACUUACAAAGUAGACUGGAGCAAGGAAAGGGUAGUUGAAGUAAAAAGAAAAGGGAAGAGAAAGAACAGAAAAAACAGCAAGUAGGAGGAGGCAGAGAAAGGGGGCUGGAGUCAUGGAUACCUUUGUCAGUACCUCCCCCACCAACUUUGUGACUCAGGAAAGCCAUUUUCCUUAACUGGGCCUCAGUUUAUCUGUGCACAAAACAGAUGAUAAUUCUGACUCAGCCUUUCUCCCAGAACAGCUGUGAAACUGGAUUGGUGAGAGCAGAUGGGAAACAUUUGUUAAGUAUGCAGUGAGAGAAAUAUAAACAAAACUGAUUCUUUUUACUUAUUUUUUGGUGCCAUGAAGUGGGCAUAACCAGCAGAUAAAAUAAAGGCAAAAUAAGACUUUUUAAAUAGCAUGUUUCUCAUGCUGCAUGUACUAGCCCCCUGCUUCUGACACAGAAUAAAACAUUAGAAGAAAGAUACUUUCAUGUUUUUCAGGUACUAUAUGCUCAUUUCCAUUUUAAUAGGUUAAACACAGGAUUCUUUUCAAGAAAAAGCAGUAUCUAAAACUCCCCCAUAUCUCUGUAAUAUACAUAUGAAGGAGUAAUUUGAUUGUCUGCCUUCAAAGAAUUUCUGACUUAUAAAAUGAAUACAAUGAAGCUGGACUUGGUGGUGCUGCGUGCCUGUAAUCCCAGUGGCUCGGGAGGCUGAGGCAGGAGGAUCAUGAGUUCAAAGCCAGCUCAGCAAAAGCAAGGCACUUAGCAACUCAGUGAGACCCUGUCUCUAUUUUUUUUUUUAAGAAAUAAAAGUUUUUUAUUAAUUUGAAACUUUUCAAAUGUAAAAUUUUGUUACCUGUCAGUUUCUAAUUUUACAGCUAUUUCUGGUUCUUUGGGCUUAUUUAAUGUUUUUGUAUUAAUUAUUCCCCUUGAGAGGCUUAAGAUACACUCAAUUAGGGAUUUUAAGAUACAGUCUAUUCAUAAUAUGUUCCUAAAUCCUAUUUGUUUCUUACUUUUUUUUUUUAAUUUUUUAUUGUUGGCUGUUCAAAACAUUACAUAGUUCUUGAUAUAUCAUAUUUCACAAUUUGAUUCAAGUGGGUUAUGAGCUCCCAUUUUUACCCCAUAUACAGAUUGCAGAAUCACAUCAGUUACACAUCCAUUGAUUUACAUAUUGCCAUACUAGUGUCUGUUGUGUUCUGCUGCCUUUCCUAUCCUCUACUAUCCCCCCUCCCCUCCCCUCCCCUCCC